CAGCAGCCGCGGUAAUACCUGCAGCCCAAGUGGUGGUCGAUUUUAUUGAGUCUAAAACGUUCGUAGCCGGUUCGAUAAAUCUUUGGGUAAAUCGGGGAGCUUAACUUUCCGUCUUCCGAGGAGACUGUCGAACUUGGGACCGGGAGAGGCUAGAGGUACUUCUGGGGUAGGGGUAAAAUCCUGUAAUCCUAGAAGGACCACCGGUGGCGAAGGCGUCUAGCUAGAACGGAUCCGACGGUGAGGGACGAAGCCCUGGGUCGCAAACGGGAUUAGAUACCCCGGUAGUCCAGGGUGUAAACGCUGCAGACUUGGUGUUGGAAGUCCUUUGGGGGCAUUCAGUGCCGGAGAGAAGUUGUUAAGUCUGCUACUUGGGGAGUACGUCCGCAAGGAUGAAACUUAAAGGAAUUGGCGGGGGAGCACCGCAACGGGAGGAGCGUGCGGUUUAAUUGGAUUCAACACCGUAAAACUCACCAGGGAAGACUGUUACAUGAAAGCCGAGAUGAAGACUCUGCUAGAUUUUCAGAGAGGAGGUGCAUGGCC
rnacentral:rRNA from 1 species